UUACCGGGCGAAAUUUCAAAAAUUUUAAUUCAAAUUUAAUGCGUUCAAAUGAGUUGGGGCAUUGUGCAAGAGGCCCCCACCAACAGACUCUGGACCGCCGCCAGCUGCAAGAGUGCGAAUAGCAUAACUUGUGUACUCGUAUUAUUUUAUUUUUUAUAGAGGUGUUUGUUGCCGAUGUUGCAAGUGCGGCUCCCAAAUACAAAACGAAUCAGAACUGAGCCUUAAUUAGGAGCAGCUUGAACCUGUUCCGCGUCAAGCUCGGCCUUGAGCCAGUUAAUCGUUUGCAUUAAGAAGAUGCCGUCUGCUUGCCAAUCUGUUGGCCAUCAAGUGUUGAGCAAUGGCAAACAUAUCUGUGGAUUAGCCGCUUGCCUGGAGAUCUUGUUGGCUAUCAGUCAGUUGCUUUUUCGACUUCGACCGGUUGUAAUUAUGAGCAACGAUUACUGGUUAUUAAAGUCGUAUACAAAUUUAAUUGAUUUGUUAAUUAGUCAAGUGUUAAAUAAACGAUUUGCUCAGCUUUUGCUGUCUCCUGA